rnacentral:lncRNA from 1 species
AUCUAGCCAUUCUGUUUAUCAUCAUACAUAUACAUAAAUAAAUAAUCCUUAAUUUAUGAUGGGAUUUGGUUCAACACUGAGAUUGUAAGUUGGACAUUCAGAAGUCAGAAAUGCCCAAAAUUUAUGGAUUGUCCACUACUAAUAGUUAUUAUUACAUUUCACUUUAUCAUAAUAAACUUAAUGAAUACAAAAAUAUAAGAACAAGUUUGGAAAAGGAUGUUUUCAAUAUUUCAGACCAUUGCUCAUGGACUCGAACUCAUGUGAAUUUCAUUGAACAGUCACAGAAUUUAUUGAUUACAACUGAAUUUAUUGAUUA